GCUAGGGGAGCUUUUGCUGAGAUUUACCGGAAAGUUUAAAAUUUCGGAUAAACCCUCAUUACCUGAUUCGGUUAAUGCCGGCGUAGGGAAGCAAAUAUGC
rnacentral:ncRNA from 1 species